rfam:Schistosoma curassoni strain Dakar, Senegal genome assembly, scaffold: SCTD_scaffold0000997
AUCCAGCUGAAGUGUCCCAAACAGGACGAAACAUGCGUUCUAGAU